rnacentral:rRNA from 1 species
UUCCUGGUGACCGAUAGCGGACUAGUACCGUGAGGGAAAGGUGAAAAGUACCCCGGGAGGGGAGUGAAAUAGUACCUGAAACCGGACGCUUACAAUCCGUCAAAGCCUGUGAGUCCUUGUGGCUGCGGGUGAUGGCGUGCCUUUUGAAGAAUGAGCCUGCGAGUUAGUGCUCGGUGGCGAGGUUAACCCGUGUGGGGUAGCCGUAGCGAAAGCGAGUCUGAAUAGGGCGAUAGAGUCGCCGGGUCUAGACCCGAAGCGGAGUGAUCUACCCAUGGCCAGGGUGAAGCGUCGGUAAGACGUCGUGGAGGCCCGAACCCACUUCAGUUGAAAAUGGAGGGGAUG